GCGGGGGUGGCUGAGCUAGGCCAAAGGCGGCGGACUUAAGAUCCGCUCUCGUAGGAGUUCAUGGGUUCGAAUCCCAUCCCCCGCA
rfam:Halogeometricum borinquense DSM 11551, complete genome.